AACCAUUAAUAAAUUUAACACACUGCAUUUCUGGGAGAUUACAGCUAUGUUCACAUUAUAUUAGUACAGACUGAGUUGUGUUUCUUAAACCAAAUCCACGACAAGAAACAGUCUCCUUAAAGACUUACUGCUGCUCUUUCAUAAUUAGUGUCUUUCUGCACAUGAAAAAGCCCAAACUGUUCACCACCCAAUUUUUAAAUCAAUUUGGGCACUGCUCUUUAAAGUGAGGGAUUUAUUACCAGCAGCUGCUGCAGCAAGGUGAAACGUCAGCUCAGUUCUUGCAUCAUCUUAUGCUGGCUGGAGAUCUGCACACAGAUCUCACACUCCAACACAGCCUGGAGAAUUCAAUUCUCUGCUGACAUUCGCAAAUGCAGCACAGCCCUGAACACGUAUCCACAAUGAAUGCUCUGUAACUGAGGAGCUCAAGAACUGUCACUGCAACUCGACUGACAAAGGCCCAUGGAGGAAAUACAAGAUUUUGAAGAAAAAUUAUGGUAUAUGCAAAAGUGACUUCAGAAUGCUGUCUGCCAGUUGGUGAUGAUCUGUAUCAGGACUCCGCAAUUCUGGCUGAGCAGACUUAGACUGGCCCCCAGCAUGGUGUGAAAAUGCAGUUAUGGCUAAACACACACCCAGGCUCCCAGGAGAAAUACCCUCACAGGAACAGGCUCAUGCACUGAUUCAAGAUUCCCUCUCUGAGGACCUGGCACCUCCUAGAUUUGCUUGCAAGGCUGAAUAAACAAAAAUUGUCCAACAUCUGAUCAAUAAAGCAUUGCUUAA